GGAGGGAUGGCCGAGUGGUUUAAGGCGCCUGUCUUGAAAACAGGUAAGGCGAAAGUCUUCGUGGGUUCGAAUCCCUCUCCCUCCG
rnacentral:tRNA from 1 species